rnacentral:rRNA from 1 species
CCUACGGGAGGCAGCAGUGGGGAAUCUUGCGCAAUGGGCGAAAGCCUGACGCAGCCAUGCCGCGUGAAUGAUGAAGGUCUUAGGAUUGUAAAAAUUCUUUCACCGGGGACGAUAAUGACGGUACCCGGAGAAGAAGCCCCGGCUAACUUCGUGCCAGCAGCCGCGGUAAUACGAAGGGGGGCUAGCGUUGCUCGGAAUUACUGGGCGUAAAGGGAGCGUAGGCGGAUAGUUUAGUCAGAGGUGAAAGCCCAGGGCUCAACCUUGGAAUUGCCUUUGAUACUGGCUAUCUUGAGUAUGGGAGAGGUUAGCGGAACUCCGAGUGUAGAGGUGAAAUUCGUAGAUAUUCGGAAGAACACCAGUGGCGAAGGCGGCUAACUGGCCCAUUACUGACGCUGAGGCUCGAAAGCGUGGGGAGCAAACAGGAUUAGAUACCCUGGUAGUCCACGCCGUAAACGAUGAGUGCUAGUUGUCGGCAUGCAUGCAUGUCGGUGACGCAGCUAACGCAUUAAGCACUCCGCCUGGGGAUACGGUCGCAAGAUUAAAACUCAAAGGAAUUGACGGCUGAGACGNGCGACGCGACGACGAGGGAGAGG